CACCAUUUUCAAGCGAGCUUGUCCCAGGGCUUAUAGCUAUGCUUUUGAUGACGGCACCAGCACUUUCACAUGCAAGGCUUAUGAAUAUGCCAUUGUUUUCUGUCCUGCUACUAGCAAUGGGUAGGAUUCAACUCUUUUUAUGCUUUACCUGUUUCUUUCCUCUCCUCGUCCGUGCAUGAAAAAUACAUUAAGAAAUCUGUAUUUAAAAUGCAGAGCAAAAAGACCAGGUGGCGUACCUCCAAGCAUGCCCAUUCCAGGUCCUGACAACGAGAAGGUUGUGAAAAUGGCUUCCUCUUCCACUAUCCUCUUACCACUUCCAGUGUCAAUCCUUCUCA
rnacentral:lncRNA from 1 species